UACGUAUGUCCCGAGCGUUAUCCGGAUUUAUUGGGCGUAAAGCGAGCGCAGACGGUUGAUUAAGUCUGAUGUGAAAGCCCGGAGCUCAACUCCGGAAUGGCAUUGGAAACUGGUUAACUUGAGUGCAGUAGAGGUAAGUGGAACUCCAUGUGUAGCGGUGGAAUGCGUAGAUAUAUGGAAGAACACCAGUGGCGAAGGCGGCUUACUGGACUGUAACUGACGUUGAGGCUCGAAAGUGUGGGUAGCAAACAGGAUUAGAUACCCUGGUAGUCCACACCGUAAACGAUGAACACUAGGUGUUAGGAGGUUUCCGCCUCUUAGUGCCGAAGCUAACGCAUUAAGUGUUCCGCCUGGGGAGUACGACCGCAAGGUUGAA
rnacentral:rRNA from 1 species